rnacentral:rRNA from 1 species
AGAGUUUGAUUAUGGCUCAGGAUGAACGCUGGCGGCGUGCUUAACACAUGCAAGUCGAACGAAGCAACUAUCUUGCUUGCAAGAGAGUUGACUUAGUGGCGGACGGGUGAGUAACGCGUGGGUAACCUGCCUCAUACAGGGGGAUAGCAGUUGGAAACGACUGCUAAGACCGCAUAACCCGCUAGUGUCGCAUGACACGGACGGAAAAUAUUUAUAGGUAUGAGAUGGGCCCGCGUCUGAUUAGCUAGUUGGUAAGGUAACGGCUUACCAAGGCGACGAUCAGUAGCCGACUUGAGAGAGUGAUCGGCCACAUUGGGACUGAGACACGGCCCAAACUCCUACGGGAGGCAGCAGUGGGGAAUAUUGGACAAUGGGGGAAACCCUGAUCCAGCCGACGCCGCGUGAGUGAAGAAGUAUUUCGGUAUGUAAAGCUCUAUCAGCAGGGAAGAUAAUGACAGUACCUGACUAAGAAGCCCCGGCUAACUACGUGCCAGCCGCCGC